rfam:Astyanax mexicanus chromosome 24, whole genome shotgun sequence.
GUGGGCUACGGAGACAUGAGCCCCGUUACUGUCGGAGGCAAGAUCGUGGGGUCAAUGUGCGCCGUGGCCGGUGUGCUGACCAUUGCCCUGCCCGUGCCGGUCAUAGUGGCCAAC